UGUGUGUUCCAGGCAAAUCCGGUUCACUUUAACACUGAGGCGUGAUGACGAGGCACUACGGUGCUGAAGUGAUAAAUGCCCUGCUUCCAGGAAAAGCCUCUAAGCAUCAGGUAACACGAAAUCGUACCCCAAACCGACACAGGUGGUCAGGUAGAGAAUACCAAGGCGCUUGAGAGAACUCGGGUGAAGGAACUAGGCAAAAUGGUGCCGUAACUUCGGGAGAAGG
rnacentral:rRNA from 1 species